rnacentral:rRNA from 1 species
CCUACGGGCGGCAGCAGUGAGGAAUAUUGGUCAAUGGCCGGAAGGCUGAACCAGCCAAGCCGCGUGAAGGACGAAGGUGCCAAGCAUUGUAAACUUCUUUUGCCAAGGGACAAAAUCAGGCUCGAGAGUCUGACCGAGGGUACUUGAAGAAAAAGCAUCGGCUAACUCCGUGCCAGCAGCCGCGGUAAUACUGAGGAUGCGAGCGUUAUCCGGAUUUAUUGGGUUAAAAGGGUGCGUAGGCGGGCUGUUAAGUCAGCGGUAAAAAGGCGGUGCUCAACGCCGUACAGCCGUUGAAACUGGCAGUCUUGAGUGGGCGAGAGGUAUGCGGAAUGCGUGGUGUAGCGGUGAAAUGCAUAGAUAUGAUGAAGAACCCCGAUUGCGAAGGCAGCUUGCUGCAGCGGAACUGACGCUGAUGCUCGAAAGCGCGGGUAUCGAACAGGAUUAGAUACCCCAGUAGUC